rnacentral:rRNA from 1 species
AAGAGAGAGUUCAAGAGUACGUGAAACCGCUCAGGGGUAAACGGAAAAGACCUGAAUUUCCGAAAGGGGAGAUUCACGUCCUACCGAAUUUUUUGGCCAUUUUUUUUAUGUAUAAGAGAUGGUCGCUCGCCUUGUCCAGUGAAAACUGUGGCAGUGGGUGUGGCUGCUCGCAUAGGAAAAUUUUUUGGUCAGCGGUGGACCGCACUUCUCCCUUAGUAGGACGUUGCGACCUGUCAAAUAAUAUUCUAAGUAUUGGUUAAAGUGUCUGUAUAAAGAUUUUUACCGAAAGGUUUUUUUUUUUUUACAGUUUUAAUCGUAUUUGUACUGAAUAUUUUUUUUUUUUGACAGUAUCAAACGAUGGUGUCGAGCCACUGGAAAUUUUAAGAAAUUAAAAUGGAAAGUGUCCCUAUGUUAGUUUGCAAGUGGGUAAGGUAUACGGAUUUAGUCGGAUUUUUUGUCCGGCUUGCUGUUCCUCCUACUGUUGGUAAACUGUACCUUGGACUGUGCUCACAACACCAGUCAGCAGCGAUCCAGG